ACUUUACCUACGCUUAAUUUCCAGCCUUUGGGCAGGAAAGCGGGGGAACCAGUCUUUUGGGGCGAAUCAUUCACAGAAUGUAGGGUACCAUCUUACCCGAGUCCGUCAGCUAACCUCGUCAGUAGUGGAUGGGUCUG
rnacentral:sRNA from 2 species